rnacentral:sRNA from 3 species
AUAUCUCUCUGUACGGGAAGGAUGAGAAGCUUCGACCAAGGUUCGAUUCGAGCGCAGCGAGAAAGCGUUGCCGCAGGC